rnacentral:rRNA from 1 species
GACGAACCGUGCGAACGUUGUUCGGAAUCACUGGGCUUAAAGGGCGCGUAGGCGGGUGGCCAAGUCAGAGGUGAAAUCCUACGGCUCAACCGUGGAAGUGCCCCUGAAACUGGUCAUCUCGAGGGAGGUAGGGGCGUGCGGAACUUCCGGUGGAGCGGUGAAAUGCGUAGAUAUCGGAAGGAACGCCGGUGGCGAAAGCGGCGCGCUGGACCUCUUCUGACGCUGAGGCGCGAAAGCCAGGGGAGCAAACGGG